UACGAAGGUCCCGAGCGUUAUCCGGAUUUAUUGGGUUUAAAGGGUGCGUAGGCGGGUUAUUAAGUCAGUGGUGAAAGCCUACAGCUUAACUGUAGAAUUGCCAUUGAUACUGAUGAUCUUGAGUAUGAUUGAGGUGGGCGGAAUGUGUCAUGUAGCGGUGAAAAUGCUUAGAUAUGACACAGAACACCGAUUGCGAAAGGCAGCUCACUAAGUC
rnacentral:rRNA from 1 species